UACGUAGGGGGCAAGCGUUGUCCGGAUUUAUUGGGCGUAAAGAGCUCGUAGGCGGUUGGGCAAGUCACGUGUGAAAUCUCCACGCUCAACGUGGAGGCGCCACGUGAGACUGCCCUGACUCGAGUCCGGUAGGGGAGCGUGGAAUUCCCGGUGUAGCGGUGAAAUGCGCAGAGAUCGGGAGGAACACCGAUGGCGAAGGCAGGUCUCUGGGCCACUACUGGCGCUGAGGAGCGAAAGCGUGGGGAGCGAACAGG
rnacentral:rRNA from 1 species